rnacentral:rRNA from 1 species
UAGGGAAUCUUCCACAAUGGGCGAAAGCCUGAUGGAGCAACGCCGCGUGAGCGAAGAAGGUCUUCGGAUCGUAAAGCUCUGUUGUAAGGGAAGAACAAGCGCAGCAGUCACUGGCUGCGCCCUGACGGUACCUUACUAGAAAGCCACGGCUAACUACGUG